rnacentral:rRNA from 1 species
GCAAGUCGAGCGCACCUUCGGGUGAGCGGCGGUCGGGUUAGUAACGCGUGGGAAUAUGCCCUUCUCUACGGAAUAGCCUCGGGAAACUGAGAGUAAUACCGUAUACGCCCUUCGGGGGAAAGAUUUAUCGGUGAUGGAUUAGCCCGCGUCUGAUUAGAUAGUUGGUGGGGUAAUGGCCUACCAAGUCUACGAUCAGUAGCUGGUUUUAGAGGAUGAUC